UGUCCUUUCAAAAAUGGCUCGUGAUAUACUAGCAAUCCCCAUCUCUACGGUUGCUUCUGAAUCAGCUUUCAGCACUAGUGGUCGUAUUCUCGAUGACUUCAGAAGCUCUUUAACACCACCGACACUGCAGUCGUUGAUAUGCACACAAGAUUGGUUGCGUUCUAAGUGUAUCAAUGUUGAAGCUGAUCUUGCUGAGUUGACCAGGCUGGAGGAAGAAGUGGGUGCCAUUCAUUUAAAUGAUAAUGUGACAAUAUCAAUUGAUUGAUCUUCAUGCGUGGAGCCGGAGUGGAAAAUUGCUGCCUGAAGCCUUGAAGUGAUGAAACAAAUGCCAUUUUAUCUCGAUCUGCACCUUUUGUUUGUGUGUGUGUGUUGCACAUGUACUGUACUACGCUGAACUUUGGUUGUUCCAGAAUUUGCACUUUGUACUGAAGUUUGUUAUUUUGAUGUAUUCCAGAAUUUCAUGUGUGCUUGUACUGGGCAUGUUUAGUUCUGCUUGUGCUUGUACUGGACAAGUUUUUGUUCCAGAAUUUCUUCCUGUGGUUUCACUGGACAUGUACUAAAUUAGUGCUUGUAGUUGUACUCGUAGUCUUAUACUAGAUUGUUGUACUGGAACAUAAAUUCUUCAUGUUUCAGAAUUUCUUCAAGUAGGUAACCAGGUUGUAGUUGUAUUGGACAAGUA